rnacentral:rRNA from 1 species
UUCCGGUUGAUCCUGCCGGACCUGACUGCUAUCGGAUUGAUACUAAGCCAUGUGAGUCAUUGUAGCAAUACAAGGCAGACGGCUCAGUAACACGUAGCCAAUCUAACCUAUGGACGGGGAUAACCUCGGGAAACUGAGGAUAAACCCCGAUAGAUCAUUAUGCCUGGAACGGUUUAUGGUCCAAAUGAUUCGUCGCCGUAGGAUGAGACUGCGGCCUAUCAGCUUGUUGGUGAGGUAAUGGCCCACCAAGGCUAUUACAGGUACGGGCUCUGAGAGGAGAAGCCCGGAGAUGGGUACUGAGACACGGACCCAGGCCCUAUGGGGCGCAGCAGGCGAGAAACCUUUGCAAUGUGCGCAAGCACGACAAGGUUAAUCCGAGUGAUUCCUGCUAAAGGAAUCUUUUGUUAGUCUUAAAAUCACUAUUGAAUAAGGGGUGGGCAAGUUCUGGUGUCAGCCGCCGCGGUAAAACCAGCACCUCAAGUGGUCAGGAGGAUUAUUGGGCCUAAAGCAUCCGUAGCCUGCUCUGUAAGUUUCCGGUUAAAUCCAUUAGCUCAACUAAUGGCCUGCCGGAAAUACUGCAGAGCUAGGAAGUGGGAGAGGUAGACGGUACUCGGUAGGAAGGGGUAAAAUCCUUUGAUCUAUUGAUGACCACCUGUGGCGAAGGCGGUCUACCAGAACACGUUCGACGGUGAGGGAUGAAAGCUGGGGGAGCAAACCGGAUUAGAUACCCGGGUAGUCCCAGCUGUAAACGAUGCAGACUCGGUGAUGCGCUGGCUUGUGGCCAGUGCAGUGCCGCAGGGAAGCCGUUAAGUUUGCCGCCUGGGAAGUACGUACGCAAGUAUGAAACUUAAAGGAAUUGGCGGGGGAGCACCACAAGGGGUGAAGCCUGCGGUUCAAUUGGAGUCAACGCCGGA